rnacentral:sRNA from 1 species
UCCGGGUGCAGUAGUCUACACCUGUAAUCCCAGCAGCUCUGGAGGCUGAGGCAGGAGGAUCAAGAGUUCCAAGCCAGUCUCAGCAACUUGGUGAGGCCCUAAGCAAUUCAAUGAGACCCUGUCUCUA